rnacentral:rRNA from 1 species
GACGAACGCUGGCGGCGUGCUUAACACAUGCAAGUCGAACGGAAAGGCCCUGCUUUUGUGGGGUGCUCGAGUGGCGAACGGGUGAGUAACACGUGAGUAACCUGCCCUUGACUUUGGGAUAACUUCAGGAAACUGGGGCUAAUACCGGAUAGGAUCUCCUGCUGCAUGGUGGGGGUUGGAAAGUUUCGGCGGUUGGGGCUGGACUCGCGGCUUAUCCGCUGGUUGGUGGGGUAGUGGCUUACCAAGGCUUUGACGGGUAGCCGGCCUGAGAGGGUGACCGGCCACAUUGGGACUGAGAUACGGCCCAGACGCCUACGGGAGGCAGCAGUGGGGAAUAUUGCACAAUGGGCGGAAGCCUGAUGCAGCAACGCCGCGUGCGGGAUGACGGCCUUCGGGUUGUAAACCGCUUUCGCCUGUGACGAAGCGUGAGUGACGGUAAUGGGUAAAGAAGCACCGGCUAACUACGUG